UCGAUGGAUAUAGAGCAUCUGUAGACGGUGUAAAAUGGUUCGCGUAUUUCUUCUUGGAGGGUCAAGUGUACCCUAAGCUGAAACGAUUUGUUCCGUCGCUGCUGACGACACCUGGGAGCAUCACCAAGUCAUAGGCCAGGUUGAUACCACGCACUCAAGCAAUAGUACAAACGCUGCAGUCGCAGGGAGUCGUGUCCAAAUACAAACUGCUAGAAAUCUGGGGUUUGGAUAAAAAAUGCAUCUCGGCCGUGAUGCUUGCCGCCAUGUUGAUUUUAGUCAAG